UUAUUAAUCAUGUUUCAAGUUUUGAAUUGUUAAUUUAUUUCUAUUUGCUUCAUUUUUGUUCUUUCAUUGCAUUGAUUUGUUGCUCUCUCCCAACUCCCUUGUUCUCUUUGACAGGUGGAUGCUGGUGCAGAUAUUAUUAUCACCCAGUUGUUUUAUGAUACUGACAUAUUUCUGAAGUUUGUGAAUGAUUGCCGUCAAAUUGGGAUAACCUGUCCCAUCGUUCCUGGUAUAAUGCCAAUAAACAACUAUAAGGGCUUCUUGCGUAUGACUGGUUUUUGUAAAACUAGGGUAAGUUCCCUUUUACAGAAUUUACUUAUUUCUUUAUAAAUUUAAGUUAUUCUUGGACGUACAGAUAUCAAGUUACAUGAUAUUAGUUGCUGAAUCUGGUAUAUCAGUGUCAUUUAUGCUCAUCAAUGGGAUUUUGUAGAUGUUCCUUUCAUUUUAAUAGUUGAACUCCUGCAUUAUUUGUUACUUUAAACAAUUUAGUCCUUUUGCAAAGUUUACAAAGUUACAUUUUCCGGAGGGCUUGCUGAGUGAUGGAGUCAGGUGACUGGUUUGCACACAUAAAGAAAAUAAUAACCUAACCAAUGUUUUGCACAAUAAACCUCUUCACAGAGUCCUGAGUUUUAGAGAUAAUUCCAUUUGCCUUCUUUCUAAGCCAAGCCAACAAGUUCACAUUCUGCACCUAAACAUGCUGUUUCUAUCUUUUAUUGGAUGAUAUCUGAAUUUGUUGAUGUUGCUUUUUAAUCAUAUGUUUAAGUGGUCUAGUUCAACAUAUAUGAGUAAUGCCUUUAGGGUACAUGUAAAUUUGCAUUUUUGUUGGGUGAUGAUAUGACUAAUGGUAUUCUGCAGAUACCACCUGAGAUUACAGCUGCCCUAGAGCCUAUUAAAGAAAAUGAAGAGGCUGUCAAGGCAUAUGGAAUCCACCUUGGAACCGAGAUGUGCAAUAAGAUUUUAGCUCACGGGAUCAAGACAUUGCAUCUUUACACGCUAAACAUGGAGAAGUCUGCAUUGGCCAUAUUAAUGGUGAUAUUUUGUUUGAUAUCACGGUUUCAUGUUCCCUUUUUUCUUUUGAGUUACUCAAGAAAAUAUGUUUGCAGAACCUUGGAUUAAUUGAGGAAUCUAAGAUUUCAAGGUCCUUACCAUGGAGGCGACCAACAAAUGUUUUUCGUGCUAAAGAAGAUGUUCGACCUAUCUUUUGGUAUGCUUUCCUUUUCAGAGUUUCAUGGUUGUUGUAAACAGAGAAUGUUAUAAUAAUGAUAUUCUUCAGUCAUGAUCGCAUUCUAACUUUCUCUGUACCAUGGAUCAGGGCUAAUCGUCCAAAAAGCUACAUUGCAAGGACUCUUGGUUGGGACCAGUACCCACAUGGGAGGUGGGGAGAUUCUCAUAACCCAUCAUAUGGAGCCCUUACAGACUACCAGGUCACCAAAUUAUCUCUAAAUUUCCAAUCACAACAUUUUGCACUUUUAGAAUGUAUCUGUAUUGUAUUUUUUGACUUUUCCUUGUCAAAAUGAUAUGUGAUAAAUAGGAAUAUAGUGCAGCCAACAAUAGAUUGGGUGCUGGAAACUUCGAAUAUUGACCUCAUACAGGGUCCAAAAUAACUUAAAAUGUUGACCUCAUGCAGGGUUCAACUUACCAGAUGAAGACUUUUUGAGUCUUUAGAAAAAAUUGUAACCUUAAAAGAAAUAACUUAUAUUUGCUUAUUAGUUCCCCGUUUUUCUAGUCCUAUAUGGACUGAAGUAGUUUAGCCAAUGCAGCCCCAUCAAAGAUAAGAUGAGGGCUAGAAUAUAGACUGGUUCAGUUGAUUCAGAUAAAGAUAAAUGUAGGAGUCCUAUAAUCUCUUCUUUAUUUCCUUUCAUGUUCUUUCUUUCUCUUCUCCAACUUUUCCUUUGUUUCCCAACUUUUCUCCAUGUCUGCUGUUACAAAAUUGAAAAGUGGACCUGUUUUUAACUGGCUUUUGAAACCCCCUUAGAUUCUCCAGAACCCAAUAAAAAUCCACCAACGGUAUGAUUUAUCAUGUCUAGCUGCCAAAAGCCCUUUCCCAUUAAUGCUUUCCUUUUCUUAUCUGCAUUAGAGAGAUCUUACGCAGAUCAGUCAUAGCCAUGCUGAAAAACUGCUCCUGACAGUAUUCAUAUGUCCUAAAUUUAGCCCACAUCAAGCACUAAAAUUUCUGGCAGACACCAACCAUAUACAACUCAACCCCUGGUUAUCUUCUCCACUAUUUGUCAUCUCUUUCAUGGUUUACCAUUAGAACUUUUGACAGUCUUGAUCAAAGCCUGUGAAUCGUCUAACUUAGGCUAAACUUUAAUGUUCUAGAAUUUUAUAAAUCAGAAACUUCUGGACAUGCCAUUCUCGAAAGAAUUGUUCACUUGCUUGACUUACAGUACUAUUAUUAGGUAGUUCUUUUAUUUCCUUCAAAUUUUCCCCCUUCUAGCAUUAAGAAGAACGAACUGGCAUAUAGCCCCUUCUAGAGUAGUCCUUUUUUUUCAGAAUGUUUAUUCUUCUUCGCGUUUUUGGUUGGGGAUUUGAUAACAACACUAGCUCAAAGUAUAAGUGAAAGAUAUUAAACCAUUGCUAAAGCUUGUUUCAAGACACCGUCUCUUUAUUUUAGCUCAUGGUAGAUGGUAAUGCUCUUUAGCUGUUAGAUUAACCUAUUAUUUUUAAAUUUAUUUUUUUCCCGAGGGCUAUUUAAAUGAUUAAUAUUUUGCUUUGUCUGCUUACUCACACUGUAUGUCAGUGUCAGGGUAAUUAUAUCUAAAACUUAUUAUCUGUUUGACAGUUCAUGCGCCCACGUGCACGGGACAAGAAGCUUCAAGAGGAAUGGGCAAUCCCAUUGAAAUCUCUGAAUGACAUCAAAGAGGUAUUCCUCUAUAGUUGAUUAUUGUUGCUCUGGAACACUUCUUUAUGAAUUAUUUCAGAUGGUUCUUACAUCUUUCUUGCUUGAAGAAUAUCUGCAUAUUUGUGGACAUGAAAGGCUGAUCUUACUCUUUUUCCCACAAUACAUUCGACAGAGGUUCAUGAACUUCUGCCUGGGAAAACUUAGAAGUAGCCCGUGGUCAGAGCUAGAUGGGCUUCAGCCAGAGACAAAGAUAAUUGAUGAACAUCUGGGAGAAAUCAUCUUAAAGGGUUUUCUCACCAUCAAUAGCCAACCUGCAAUUAAUGGAGAGAAAUCUGAUUCUCCCACUGUUGGUAAGUGAGAUUUAUUCUAAACGUCUUCAAGGUCAAGUAUUUGUUAGUUCUUAUAUGACCUCUGAGCCGGUCCCUGACUUGGAAAGCAUGACUUCCUUUUUGAAAAUGAAAUCAUGUUUCUGCAUAUAAAAUUCAAUUUAUUUUNNNNNNNNNNNNNNNNNNNNNNNNNNNNNNNNNNNNNNAGAGAAUAGAUAACGAUUAACGACUGUAGGCCAAACACCAUUUUUUCUGUUAUUUUUUCAAUAUAAAUUUGUCAGAGGACUUGAAUUGCUUGCAGGAAAAUGCAUUAUUGCUUUCUAUGAAAUGAUAUCACUUAUGGUACUUCAACUUAAAUUGUUCAAGGCAAUUUUGCAUAUUGUUCAAAGCAAUGAUGCAUGCUCAAAUUGCAUAUGGAUGGCUCUUACUACAAUUUGAGUUCUUAAUAUAAACAUGUAAAUGUUUGCACUUUGUUCUAACUUUCCUUUAACAUAUAAUUAUAAAUAUGAAUAAGUCACGGCCAUAAGUUAUUUUAGGGCAUAAGCCACCUUCUCCUUGCACUUAUUAGUUAUCAUAGAUGAACUAAACCUGCUAUUCGUGAUUAGGAAUGGUUUCAUACUUAAUUCCUCUUAGAUGUGCAUUGUGAAAAUAGGACCUAGAGAGGGAUGAUUUUAGAAUUUAGGGCCUAAAGAGGAAUGAUAUUUGGAGGAAAUGAUUAUGUUGUUCAAAAUUCAGUGUGCGACAGAAAACAGAGCAGAAGAGAGAAUGGGAUCUUGUUCAAGAAUGAGGAUCGAUGGCAAUUUUAGUGAUCCUUGCUUCUAAGAUGUUGACUGGUUAUUUUUUUCACCUUGGAUUUGGUAUCAUAAAGAAUGAAAAUAUAAGCGAAAAAUAUGGUACAUAUGCAGAUCAGCACUGAUGGCAGAGGAGAUGUGCCCAUGUGCUUUUGAGGAUAACCACAAGAUAAUGGCAACCAAGGAGACUAAUUCACCAGACAUUGGACUGAAACUUGUCAUAUGUACAAGAAGGUGGGCAAUGAAUAGAUUGCAUGACAUUAUUAUUAACAUAACACAAAUUAGAAUAUAAAGGCUAAUAUGUGGUAAAAUUUUAGUUUUUAGAAGUUUUCACUUGGAAGAACCAGAGAGCAAAGUUAUCAUUACUAAGUAGCUCGGACUUUCACAUAUUCCUGUUUAAUGCUUGUAUUUUUGUCGUAUUCAUGCAUUAUCGCUUUCUUGUGAGAUUAGAAGAGGCCCCACUUGAGGAAGGGGAUUGGAUUUGUUAAGUGUUGGGAAUGAGGGAAACUGUAUAUAGCUAAACUUAUAGAGCUUAUGAGCAUGGAGGUAGCUAGGCAAAUUUAUAUAACUAACAGCAAUAAUUUGGAGACUCCUAUUAGUUACAACAGAAAGGGUUUCUGCAAAUCUUUAAACCUUGAGCUACUGUCAAGGUUUCAGAAUGAAGCACUAGAAGUAUCACUCUGAAUUUUGGGUUGUGCAUUAAUUAUUUUUUCAUUUUAUCCAACCUGCUUUAAUAAAGGAUUCAUGGAGGAAACUAUGAUCCUAAACAUAUCAAAAUGGAGGAAAAUGAUUCAUGUAGUUGACCCAACUAGUUUGGGAUUAAGACUUAGUUGAGUAUAUAUAAAUUAUUUUCUAGUAACAUAUAUGACUGUUCAUUCUUAAGCCUUUCCUUCUUUCCUUCUUUUUUUUUCAUCGUGGUGGUGGGGGGUUGUUGGGUAAGAAGGUGAAUUUUAGAUCUGGUGUUGGAUUUUUGUUUCAAUGCAAAGUCCUUGCUUUCUGAGUAACAUUUUUUCCCAUACAUGUUACUAUUCCGUGGCACAUUCUAAUAAUGCUUUUGUUUAUUGUGUUUGUCAGGGUGGGGUGGACCAGGGGGAUACGUCUAUCAGAAGGCUUAUCUUGAAUUCUUCUGUUCAAAAGAUAAGAUAAAUUUACUGAUUGAAAAGUGCAAGGGAUUUCCAUCUCUCACAUAUAUUGCUGUGAACAGAGAAGGGGAAUGUCUCUCCAAUGUUGCCCCAAAUGCAGUCAAUGCAGUGACAUGGGGCGUUUUCCCUGCCAAAGAGAUCGUCCAACCAACUGUUGUUGAUCCUGCAAGCUUUAUGGUUUGGAAGGAUGAGGCAUUUGAGAUCUGGACGAAGGGAUGGGCAUGCUUGUUUCCUCACGGUGACCCAUCUAGGGAAUUAUUAGAGCAGGUACGUUGGACACACAAUCAUGUUUGUAUACGAGAUAUUAGAUUGAAGGUUGUGUAGAUUUUUUCCUAAACACCUUCCAUUUUUUUACUUUCAAGUGGCAGUUUUAGACGUUCAGCAGGCCUCUCUCUCUCUCUCUCUCUCUCUCUCUCUUUUCGGCCUUCUAAAUUUCGGCUUUAUAAAGCCAUCAUCGGUAGGUAUUCGCCUGCGCGCCCCCUCGCUUCUCGGACGACGCCCAAACGCCGUUAACGGCAGCAGAGAGAGAGAGAGAGAGCUCAGAAGAGAAGAAGAGAUGAAGGUGAUAGAGAAGAUCCGGGCGGCGGGGGAGGGGAGGGGCGGACGGUGUUCUCCUUCGAGUACUUCCCCCGAAGACGGAGGAAGGGGUGGAGAACCUCUUCGAUCGCAUGGACCGCAUGGUCGCCCACAACCCCUCGUUCUGCGACAUAACCUGGGGUGCCGGCGGCUCCACCGCCGAUCUCACCCUCGAUAUCGCCAACCGCAUGCAGAACAUGAUCUGUGUGGAAACAAUGAUGCACUUAACUUGCACUAACAUGCCGGUGGAGAAGAUCGACCAUGCCCUAGACACCAUCAAGACCAAUGGGAUUCAGAAUGUUUUGGCUCUAAGAGGGGAUCCUCCUCAUGGUCAGGAUAAGUUUGUUCAGGUUGCUGGUGGAUUUGCCUGCGCCCUUGAUCUGGUGCAGCACAUUCGAUCUAAGUAUGGUGAAUAUUUUGGCAUAACUGUUGCUGGCUAUCCAGAGGCACACCCCGACAUGAUACAAUGUGAAGGAGGUGCUACAUUAGAAGCCUACAGCAAUGAUCUUGCUUAUUUGAAGAGAAAGGUGGAUGCUGGUGCAGAUAUUAUUAUCACCCAGUUGUUUUAUGAUACUGACAUAUUUCUGAAGUUUGUGAAUGAUUGCCGUCAAAUUGGGAUAACCUGUCCCAUCGUUCCUGGUAUAAUGCCAAUAAACAACUAUAAGGGCUUCUUGCGUAUGACUGGUUUUUGUAAACUAGGAUACCACCUGAGAUUACAGCUGCCCUAGAGCCUAAAAAUGAAGAGGCUGUCAAGGCAUAUCCACCUUGGAACCGAGAUGUGCAAAAGGCUCACGGGAUAAGAUUUCAAGGUCCUUACCAUGGAGGCGACCAACAAAUGUUUUUCGUGCUAAAGAAGAUGUUCGACCUAUCUUUUGGGCUAAUCGUCCAAAAAGCUACAUUGCAAGGACUCUUGGUUGGGACCAGUACCCACAUGGGAGGUGGGGAGAUUCUCAUAACCCAUCAUAUGGAGCCCUUACAGACUACCAGUUCAUGCGCCCACGUGCACGGGACAAGAAGCUUCAAGAGGAAUGGGCAAUCCCAUUGAAAUCUCUGAAUGACAUCAAAGAGAGGUUCAUGAACUUCUGCCUGGGAAAACUUAGAAGUAGCCCGUGGUCGGAGCUAGAUGGGCUUCAGCCAGAGACAAAGAUAAUUGAUGAACAUCUGGGAGAAAUCAUCUUAAAGGGUUUUCUCACCAUCAAUAGCCAACCUGCAAUUAAUGGAGAGAAAUCUGAUUCUCCCACUGUUGGGUGGACCNNNNNNNNNNNNNNNNNNNNUCUCUCUCUCUCUCUCUCUCUCUCUCCACACACACACACUUUCAUUUAUUAGUUAUUCUUUUGGAAGUUCAUUAGGUGCUGAACAAGUUGAUCAUUUCAUGUUUUCA
rnacentral:lncRNA from 1 species